CCUAACACAUGCAAGUCGAACGAAGUAGCAAUACUUAGUGGCAGACGGGUGAGUAACAUGUGGGUAUCUGCCCUUUGGCCUGGAAUAACACGAGGAAACUUGUGCUAAUACCGGAUAAGUCUUUACGGAGAAAGCUUUAUGCACCAUUGGAUGAGCCUGCACUUGAUUAGUUUGUUGGUGGGGUAAUGGCCUACCAAGACUGUGAUCAAUAGCUGAUUUGAGAGGAUGAUCAGCCACAUUGGGACUGAGACACGGCCCAAACUCCUACGGGAGGCAGCAGUGGGGAAUCUUGCACAAUGGAGGAAACUCUGAUGCAGCGAUGCCGCGUGAGUGAAGAAGGCCUUUGGGUUGUAAAGCUCUUUCGUCGGGGAAGAAAAUGACUGUACCCGAAUAAGAAGGUCCGGCUAACUUCGUGCCAGCAGCCGCGGUAAUACGAAGGGACCUAGCGUAGUUCGGAAUUACUGGGCUUAAAGAGUUCGUAGGUGGUUGAAAAAGUUGGUGGUGAAAUCCCAGAGCUUAACUCUGGAACUGCCAUCAAAACUUUUCAGCUAGAGUAUGAUAGAGGAAAGCAGAAUUUCUAGUGUAGAGGUGAAAUUCGUAGAUAUUAGAAAGAAUACCAAUUGCGAAGGCAGCUCUCUGGAUCAUUACUGACACUGAGGAACGAAAGCAUGGGUAGCGAAGAGGAUUAGAUACC
rnacentral:rRNA from 1 species